AGAGUUUGAUCCUGGCUCAGGACGAACGCUGGCGGCGUGCUUAACACAUGCAAGUCGAACGGAAAGGCCCUUCGGGGUACUCGAGUGGCGAACGGGUGAGUAACACGUGGGUGAUCUGCCCUGCACUUUGGGAUAAGCCUGGGAAACUGGGUCUAAUACCGAAUAUGACCAUGCGCCUCCUGGUGUGUGGUGGAAUGCUUUUGCGGUGUGGGAUGGGCCCGCGGCCUAUCAGCUUGUUGGUGGGGUAAUGGCCUACCAAGGCGACGACGGGUAGCCGGCCUGAGAGGGUGACCGGCCACACUGGGACUGAGAUACGGCCCAGACUCCUACGGGAGGCAGCAGUGGGGAAUAUUGCACAAUGGGCGCAAGCCUGAUGCAGCGACGCCGCGUGAGGGAUGACGGCCUUCGGGUUGUAAACCUCUUUCAGCACAGACGAAGCGCAAGUGACGGUAUGUGCAGAAGAAGGACCGGCCAACUACGUGCCAGCAGCCGCGGUAAUACGUAGGGUCCGAGCGUUGUCCGGAAUUACUGGGCGUAAAGAGCUCGUAGGUGGUUUGUCGCGUUGUUCGUGAAAACUCACAGCUUAACUGUGGGCGUGCGGGCGAUACGGGCAGACUUGAGUACUGCAGGGGAGACUGGAAUUCCUGGUGUAGCGGUGGAAUGCGCAGAUAUCAGGAGGAACACCGGUGGCGAAGGCGGGUCUCUGGGCAGUAACUGACGCUGAGGAGCGAAAGCGUGGGGAGCGAACAGGAUUAGAUACCCUGGUAGUCC
rnacentral:rRNA from 1 species